UAUUGAAUUUAAUUGUGCUUUUCAAUGCAGACAUCAUUGCAGGUCAAAUGGUUUUCUUACAAGAUUACACAAUGUGACACAUAAGUAUCAACACAAUUGGAGAGCCUACAUAAUUUGUCUUACAUUUUUGAUAUUAUGGCACUUAGGUCACUGCAACUUCUGCAGAUGUACAGGGAAGCCUCACUGUACCCAGCACCCCUAGGCUGAUUGCAUUCGGAGAUUCUGUUCUCCAUGCCAGAAGAUGGAUGCUUACAAUGGAGGGCAGAGUCAUCAUUGAGUCACAAGACCUAACUGAUUUUCAGUCCGCAUUAGCUGUCUUGUUUGGCUGCUACUACGCUUUCAAUGUUCAGUACCAAGAAGAGGCAGCUGCGACUCUGGAGUUCCUGCAGAGAUUCAUUCUCCCCGAAUAAACCCUGAUGGGACAAAUUGCCAGUCAAAGACACGGAUCAGCCGUACCUCUGGGAAGAAGGUGCAACGAAAAAGUUCUGGCCUGAAUCCUCAUGUUGCGUCUUUAAUAAAAGAGCUUGUUGACUUUGAUUGGCAGAAUUUUUAAAAAACGACCAACAACCGAGUUAAGUAUUGUUAAUGUGUAAUGUGGAAAGUGUU